GGGGGCGAAUAGAUUCGACGGGGAUACGCUAAGUUGCGGCUGCAGGCCCUGGUUGACCAGGCCAGGUAAAAAAGGGUCAAAAACACAAAAGCCAACAACUCAAACGAGUUGGCCUGGGCUCACGCUUAAGUGAGCCUCGCUCCGCACGGUUCUCCCGCGACUGUGCACGAGCGUCAAGAAGCGGGAUGCUGCAUGAGCGCCUUGUCCCGUGCGCGCGUGCUUAAGACACUACGGGGCGGGUGCGGUUUUGGCGGCCCCGGCGCCGCGACCGCAUGCUACUAAGCCGGGGCUAAGCCUGUAGCGGCCCAGCGACGCUGUUUCCGGACCCGGGUGCGAAUCCCGGCGCCUCCACCA
rnacentral:tmRNA from 1 species